CCGCAAUGGGCGAAAGCCUGACGGAGCAAUACCGCGUGAGGGAUGACGGCCUAUGGGUUGUAAACCUCUUUUUUCAGGGAGGAAUCAAUGACGUGUACCUGAAGAAUAAGCAUCGGCUAACUCCGUGCCAGCAGCCGCGGUAAGACGGGGGAUGCAAGUGUUAUCCGGAAUCACUGGGCGUAAAGCGUCUGUAGGUGGUCCAAUAAGUCAACUGUUAAAUCUUGAGGCUCAACCUCAAAAUCGCAGUCGAAACUAUUAGACUAGAGUAUAGUAGGGGUAAAGGGAAUUUCCAGUGGAGCGGUGAAAUGCGUAGAGAUUGGAAAGAACACCGAUGGCGAAGGCACUUUACUGGGCUAUUACUAACACUCAGAGACGAAAGCUAGGGUAGCAAAUGGGAUUAGAUACCCCCAGUAGUC
rnacentral:rRNA from 1 species